rnacentral:tRNA from 1 species
GCCUCAGUAGCGUUAACGCACGAGCCCCUUAUAGACGAGAGAUACGGGUUCGAAUCCCGCCUGAGGCG